UGGUGAAUAUUGCACAAUGGGCGCAAGCCUGAUGCAGCCAUGCCGCGUGUGUGAAGAAGGCCUUCGGGUUGUAAAGCACUUUCAGCGGGGAGGAAGGCGAUAAGGUUAAUAACCUUGUCGAUUGACGUUACCCGCAGAAGAAGCACCGGCUAACUCCGUGCCAGCAGCCGCGGUAAUACGGAGGGUGCAAGCGUUAAUCGGAAUUACUGGGCGUAAGGCGCACGCAGGCGGUCUGUCAAGUCGGAUGUGAAAUCCCCGGGCUCAACCUGGGAACUGCAUUCGAAACUGGCAGGCUAGAGUCUUGUAGAGGGGGGUAGAAUUCCAGGUGUAGCGGUGAAAUGCGUAGAGAUCUGGAGGAAUACCGGUGGCGAAGGCGGCCCCCUGGACAAAGACUGACGCUCAGGUGCGAAAGCGUGGGGAGCAAACAGG
rnacentral:rRNA from 1 species